GGAGAGGUGUCCGAGUGGCUUAAGGAGCACGCUUGGAAAGCGUGUGUGCGGCUAGAUGCUGUACCGUGGGUUCGAAUCCCACCCUCUCCGCCA
rnacentral:tRNA from 3 species